AAAAAAGGAGACAUUGUAGUCCUUGCAAAACCACCACAAGUUUACAGAUAUUUUUCACCUUCGAAGAUAAACUUGCAAGCAUUCUCUCUCUAGAUCUCUCUCACCAUUGGCAACUGACUCUUGCAACAAAUCUCUCUGUGUGAAACCAUGGAUGGAGGUGCUGCUGCCAUCGAAGUUCUUCUCCAAAACCUGAUCAACAUUUUGAAGGAAUAAUAUUUUCUACUGCAAGGCCUCGAUGGAGAGGCCCAGCAGCUUCAGACGACUUUGGGCAUGAUUCAAGCCUACUUGAAUGAUGCAAAGAAAAAAUUAUCACCCAUGAUGCUGUCAAGUUCUGGUUGAGGAAGCUUGAAGCUCUGGCUUUCGAUGCUGAUAAUGUCUUGGACGAACUCAGCUAUCAUUUUCUCCACAAAAAAGUAAAGAAGAAGAUGAAACUCAAGCAUAGGAUGGCAUAAUACUUCUCUUCAUUUAAUCGCAGUUCAGGUCGACAUAAUAUGGCUCUUGCAAUAAAAAAAAAAAAACAAUGCGGAGUUUGAGUCUAUGAACAAAUGGGCAAAAGAUCUUGGCCUUCAAGCCAUACUUCUAAAGUCAAAUCUGGCUGAUGACGAACAAUGUUAUGAAAUUAUGAUCUUACGCUUGUUGUUUGCUUUGGUCCAAUGUAGUCUGAUCCUUGCAAUGGAGCACCUUCUCCCAAGACUAGGCGUACUUGAAAGCCCGCUUGUUAUAAUCUUGAUAGCUAUUAUGCGCCUCUUUGAUCAAAUAUGUCUCACCAUUUCCCUAUCAAAAUGAGCUUCAAGCAUAUGAAGACAUUCCUUAUUGUAUCAGUUCCUUUAUGCCAGAACCCGGGAUUUUCGGGAGUUGGAAAUUACAUGAUCUUCGCUAAUGUCAACUCAACAUUUGAAGAUUGUUCGAUUUUUGUUCACUAAGUGGUUUGUUUGUGUAUCUCUCAUUUCUCAAAGAUUUGGGUUGAGUUGAGAUCUCAAUGAGAUGACAAAGGAAGGAAGCGAUAUGCGGUGUGCGACGAUUGUGUUCCAACUCUGCAGCAAAGUUGGAUACGUGUGAAGAGUUGGAGAAAUCGGAAAGACAAAUGGUAGGAUCAACUCUAUUAUGAAGUUGAAUUUUGUAAUACAAUAAAAGAAAAGGUGAAUGUUUUGUAGAGAAAUUGGAGAAGAUCUAGAAAGAAAAAAUGGAGAACUUGACGAACCGCAACUAAGUUGAUAUGAUACUUCUCUUCCUUCUAA